rfam:Ricinus communis cultivar Hale ctg_1100012340868, whole genome shotgun sequence.
UAUCCAUAAUGUAGGCAUUGUAAUAAAAGUGAUUUAAAAUGAUCUCAUAUUUCACGAAAAGAUUCAAUAUCCUUCUGAUAAAAAUUAGAAAUUUCAACCCUUAAUUC